GGAGAGAUGGCUGAGUGGUUGAAAGCACCUAGGUCUUGAAAACCUAAGCAUACGUUAAUAGCGUAUCUAGGGUUCAAAUCCCUAUCUCUCCGCCA
rnacentral:tRNA from 1 species